rnacentral:rRNA from 1 species
CGGGUAGCGGAACACGUACACAACCUUCCUUUAAGCGGGGGAUAGCCCAGAGAAAUUUGGAUUAAUACCCCAUAGAAUGACGAUGAGGCAUCUUAUUGUUAUUAAAGAUUUAUCACUUGAAGAUGGGUGUGCGUCUGAUUAGGUAGUUGGCGGGGUAACGGCCCACCAAGCCAUCGAUCAGUAACUGGUGUGAGAGCACGACCAGUCACACGGGCACUGAGACACGGGCCCG